ACGAUGCUCCGCAUCCUAAAAUAAGCAUCCAUUAAAGUCACUCGCUACCAUAGAAACCAACGGCCACAACACGCGAAUACCUAUAAAGAACCAUAAUGGCUGAUACCACUGCAAGGUCGUCACGUGUCGAAUUCUAAUCUUCACCUCACAUAGAUUGUAUGAGCGUCAGAAAACUGAUUACUUAAAACGCCAAGAGGGCUAUUUAACUAAUACGCAUAAUGUUUUUUAGAUUCAUAAUAUAAGCGACAUAAAUGGGAUAAAUAUCUUCUCGUUAUUUUUUUUUUUAAUUUGAUUUAUUUAACUUGUCAUUAUACAACUUUGUUUAUCCGACUCCUAGGCAAAAUUCUUAUGUUUACGUUGUGUUUAUGUUAAUUUUGAUUACAAAAAAAAAGAUAAAUUAAUUGGAUAAAAGUUAGUCUAAUCGAUUGCUUGAUCGCGUACAUUUUUUAAUUUAAGUACAACUUUAAUUAAAGAGAUUGCUUGUAGGAAUUUUUAAAACCUCAACUUGUAAAUAAACAGUUCUAAAUAAAUAAAUGGGAAACUUACAUUUUGUGAUAUCGUUGACAUAUCUUAAAUUUGAAUAUCAUUACGCGUAAAUAAAAUCCAAAUUAAAAUCUUAUUAGGUAAAGCCUGCUUAAAGUUGAAAAAUUUUAUUAAUUAUAUAUCUUUUUCAAAAAUGCUUUAUCUUUAAUUAACAAAAUAAAUAUCUCAUAUCAAUGUUUCUGCCAAAAAAUUGCUUCUAUAUCGGUUGGAUUCCACGCAAGUGCAGAGAGUAGAAUCUUAUAUAUCGUUUGUAUCCUCGCGCAAAAUAUAUAUAUUACAUACAUAUAUGCAUACGUGCGACGAACUCGUAUCGUAACGCGGCGAUGACUGAAAAUCGUUAUUUCGUUGAUUCACCAUGCCGCACAUCGAUCCAUUAUUACUCCGUUAAUAAUUCGCCGAGACCUUCGUUUUUCGUGAUGUUGCAUCAUUAAUAGUUAAUCAUAACAUCUCCGCCUUUUCGCGUUACGUGUACCACGCUUGGAUAUAUCACGUGUUUAUUGUUUACGAGAUUCCAAUUGGUACAUCAAUCAGAACGCAGUGCAUAUAGAUAUCACAUGCAUUUACUUAUAAAAAUUAACAAAUAAAACAAUUAUUCAUGCUGUUCUGUUCUACGUGAUAUAUUUCUUAUAUCAAAAAUGUCAAUCUAAUACAAUCACUAACCCACA